UUUGCUUGUUAUGGUUACUAACUCUUUUGAUGUAUGGUUUACUGAUAUAUGUAUUACAUACGAGUUGCUGAUGUGUUAGUAACUCUAUUGAUAUUUAUUUUUUUGCAGGUACUCACAAUCAAACUUGAGUCCUUUUUUACUGGUACCUAAGUAGAUCCCACAUGGACACUCCUCGAAAUGAAACCAUGCUUGUAGAGGGCUUUGCUUCAACCCAUUAGAAGGGCAUCCAUUGUGAAAGCACCGUUCUGCUGUAAAAAGCCUCCAUUGUUCGGUCUAUUACAAAAGGAUGGCCUCUUGAAAAAAAGUCAAAGCCUCAUGUUGAAGUUGCCAAGAAACCUAGAUAAUGUAAGGUUCCUCCAUGUAGCCAAACUGGCCAUGAUUAUAGGAAUUUUCCAUUAAGAAGAGGUUAAUUUAGUAGGUAAUCAUUAUAUGUUAGAGAACACCGUUCUUGGUGUGAUGUUGACACCAUUUUUGGGCUAGAAAUGCUACUUUGCAUAUGAGAUUUUUGAGACAACCUUGUAUAUGUAAUUUUGGAGUUGUACAUAAUGAUUAUUGUAAGUUGAAAUGUGGAUGCAAUAUUGAUGUUGUGCAUCAAAUGUCAUGAAUAUAUUUUCACUUGAUUAAAUACUCCAUCUUUUGCUAAUUCAUUAGAUAUGAUUUCAAGCAAAGCAUCAUUCUUUGUUCCUUGUGAAUGUGUUGGGGCAGGGACUGCAUUUUCCAAUUUGAUAUCAAGCAAAACCUGUUUCAUGGUAUUUCCUUCUUUUAUUUGAAAUUUAAGACUCAC
rnacentral:lncRNA from 1 species